rnacentral:snRNA from 1 species
AGCCGGGUUACGGUGCCCAACUGCG